GCAUUCACUUAGGGUGAGUAAGAAAUAAGUUGGGGAGAACGAAAAUGAGAAUCGGUAAGUGCCACAACUCUUGAAAAACCGAGCAAGCAUAAAAAAAAACACAAAAAUAUAUAUGUAUAUAUAACAUAGAAAAGAGAAACAUCUAUUUUGUAAAUAUGAUGUGAAAGAAAAGAAAAAAAAUAGAGAAAAUAAAAAUGAAUGCUUGCUUGGAAGAAAAAUAGUGGAAAAAAAAAUUGAGUUGUGAAAUAAGAGUUGUGAAGGUUUCAAAUGAGAAAUAAAUGGAACGAAGUUGAGAUGUGUGAAUAAUGUAUAAUGAAUGUCUCUUUU
rnacentral:lncRNA from 1 species